rfam:Stegodyphus mimosarum contig118893, whole genome shotgun sequence.
GCCUUCGUGGUGUAAUGGUCAGCACGCUCGGCUCAUAUUCCAGAGGUCCGUGGUUCGAGUUCCGGCGAGGGCA